GAUGAAUGCUGGCGGCGUGCCUAAUACAUGCAAGUCGAGCGAACGGACGAGAAGCUUGCUUCUCUGAUGUUAGCGGCGGACGGGUGAGUAACACGUGGAUAACCUACCUAUAAGACUGGGAUAACUUCGGGAAACCGUAGCUAAUACCGGAUAAUAUUUUGAACCGCAUGGUUCAAAAGUGAAAGACGGUCUUGCUGUCACUUAUAGAUGGAUCCGCGCUGCAUUAGCUAGUUGGUAAGGUAACGGCUUACCAAGGCAACGAUGCAUAGCCGACCUGAGAGGGUGAUCGGCCACACUGGAACUGAGACACGGUCCAGACUCCUACGGGAGGCAGCAGUAGGGAAUCUUCCGCAAUGGGCGAAAGCCUGACGGAGCAACGCCGCGUGAGUGAUGAAGGUCUUCGGAUCGUAAAACUCUGUUAUUAGGGAAGAACAUAUGUGUAAGGAACUGUGCACAUCUUGACGGUACCUAGUCAGAAAGCCACGGCUAACUACGUG
rnacentral:rRNA from 1 species